AAGACGAUACAGAGAAACAGGAUCUGAAAACAUGUUUUUACUAUGUGUUACAUACAGAGAAUUCACAUCUAUGAUUUAUGGAUGCUUAGGAGAAGAAAGAAGACCAUUACCAGCAUGUGCAUACCAUGCAAUAAGAUCAAAAUUUAAUGAUAAAAAGUUGGAAUUUAGAGGGUACGAAGAAAAUGAAAUAAAUGAGUGAUGUGAAAA